rnacentral:rRNA from 1 species
UACAUGGGGUGCAAACGUUGCUCGGAAUCAUUGGGCGUAAAGCGCACGUAGGCGGUUACUUAAGUCGGAUGUGAAAGCCCUCGGCUCAACUGAGGAAGUGCACCCGAAACUGAGUAGCUAGAGUACGAAAGAGGGUCGCGGAAUUCCCGGUGUAGAGGUGAAAUUCGUAGAUAUCGGGAGGAACACCGGUGGCGAAGGCGGCGACCUGGGUCGAGACUGACGCUGAGGUGCGAAAGCGUGGGGAGCAAACAGG